GACGAACGCUGGCGGCGUGCCUAACACAUGCAAGUCGAACGGGGUAAUUCCUUCGGGGAUUACUUAGUGGCGAACGGGUGAGUAACGCGUGAGGAACCUGCCUUUCAGUGGGGGACAACAGUUGGAAACGACUGCUAAUACCGCAUAAUGUUGUCGGAUGGCAUCAUCUGGCAACCAAAGCUUUAUGUGCUGAAAGAUGGCCUCGCGUCUGAUUAGAUAGUUGGUGAGGUAACGGCUCACCAAGUCGACGAUCAGUAGCCGGACUGAUAGGUUGAACGGCCACAUUGGGACUGAGAUACGGCCCAGACUCCUACGGGAGGCAGCAGUGGGGAAUAUUGGGCAAUGGGGGAAACCCUGACCCAGCAACGCCGCGUGAAGGAAGAAGGCCUUCGGGUUGUAAACUUCUUUUAGCAGGGACGAAGGACGUGACGGUACCUGCAGAAAAAGCAACGGCUAACUACGUGCCAGCCGCCGCAGUAAGAC
rnacentral:rRNA from 1 species